rnacentral:rRNA from 1 species
AUACGGAGGGGGCUAGCGUUGUUCGGAAUUACUGGGCGUAAAGCGCGCGUAGGCGGUUGUUCAAGUUGGGCGUGAAAGCCCGGGGCUUAACCCCGGAAAUGCGCUCAAAACUGGAUAGCUAGAGUCCGGAAGAGGAGAGUGGAAUUCCCAGUGUAGAGGUGAAAUUCGUAGAUAUUGGGAAGAACACCAGUGGCGAAGGCGGCUCUCUGGUCCGGUCCUGACGCUAAGGUGCGAAAGCGUGGGGAGCAAACAGGAUUAGAAACCCCAGUAGUCC